GAGGGUACAGCUCAGUGGUAGAGCACGUGCUUAGCAUACAGAGGUCCUGGGUUCAAUCCCCAGUACUUCCA
rnacentral:tRNA from 1 species